rnacentral:tRNA from 1 species
GAGGGCUUAAUAAAAUUAUUAUACUGCUUUGUCAAAACAGAAUCGCGGGUUAGACCCCCGCAUCCCUUU